AAGGACCUCAUGGAUCCUCAGAUUUGUGUUACUUAGCACAUUCAGAGGGCAGGACCUGGUGCCCAAGCCUGUAGGACUGAGCUGGCAGCAGGCACCCAGCUAGCUCAGAGCUCUGCUACAGGAUUGGCAAGUAAACAUGACAGCUGUUUCCUUCUAAGGGUCUUAGAGCAGCAGAAGGCUUAUGCAGCUCUUGGGCAGAAACCUGGAGAAGCCUGGACAAGACAGACUGAAAUCCAAGGUCAGCAGAGACCUCCACACUGAUACUAAUUCUGCUGCC
rnacentral:lncRNA from 1 species